GGGCUGGGCCCCGGCGCCCGGCCCUCUCGGGGGGUCCCGGGCCCCGCACGCCCCUGCUUGGGGUUCGCCCGCUCUCGACCUGGGACUGCUGCGGACGCCAGCAGGGCCCGCUCCCCCUCCCUGCGCCGAAGCACCUGCUUACGUGUCGCUCAACCUGGGGCCACCGAGUUCCAUCUCCAAACCUCGCUGGGGGAAGGGGGUCCCGCGCCUCCACCGAGCCCCCGAGCCGGGGAGCCUCAGCCCCGGAGAGGCUCACGUGCGCCCCUCUGGCCGCCACACCUGCCGGGACGCACACAGCGCCUCUGCUCUCACCCCAGUCCGCCCAGCUAGGGCUUCCGCCGCCGCGCACCCCAGAGCCCCUACCCACAGAGGCACCUGCGCUCCGCUGUCCCCCGACCCCAGUCUCCUGGAGUCUCCUCAUGCCCCCUCCCACAGAUGCACCUGCGCUCCGCUAUCCCCCGCCCUUCCUGGACUCUCCUCGUGCCCCCUAUCCUCAGAGGCACCUGCGCUCCGCUGUCCCCCGCCCCCAGUCUCCUGGAGUCUCCUCGAGCCCCCUCCCACAGAUGCACCUGCGCUCCUCUGACCCCCUACCCACAGAGGCACCUGCGCUCCGCUAUCCCCCGCCCCCAGUCUCCUGGACUCUGCCCGAGUCCCCUCCUACAGAGGCACCUGCGCUCCUCUGUCCCCCGCCCCCAGUCUCCUGGAGUCUCCUCGAGCCCCCUCCCACAGAUGCACCUGCGCUCCGCUGUCCCCCGCCCCCAGUCUCCUCGAGCCCCCUCCCACAGAUGCACCUGCGCUUCUCUGACCCCCUACCCACAGAGGCACCUGCGCUCCGCUAUCCCCCGCCCCCAGUCUCCUGGACUCUCUGAGCCCCCUCUCUGCUGCCCCGCUCGGCCGGGGUGAGGCAGGGCCUGGCGGUCCUCCUCGCCGCUAGGGGCGCUGUCCGCCCUCCUCCGAGGGCGCGUGGGGCCCCCGCUCUCGAAUCCGCCGUGGGAGGAAGGGGCGGGUCGAGGCUCAGGGGCCUGGGCGGGGCGCGCCCGAAAAGCCGGCCGCGGCCGGGCGGGGGCACCGAGGCGAGAGGUGGCCGCGGCUGCGCUGGGCUCCGGCCACUGAGGGCCGCGCGGGGGCGGGGAGGGCGGCGGGAGGCGCCUCUCGGGCUGGGCCACGUGACUGCAGAGGUUCCCGCCCUCAGUCCCUACCCCGGCCAGGUGUUCGAAUCCAGCCACAGACCUGGCGGCGGCCCGGCCCCGCGGGCGCCGGGGCUCAUGGCGGCGCCGGUCCGCCUGGGCCGGAAGCGCCCGCUGCCCGAGUGCCCGAACCCGCUCUUCGUGCGCUGGCUCACCGAGUGGCGCGACGAGGCGGCCAGCAGGGGGCGCCGCACGCGCUUCGUGUUUCAGAAGGCCCUGCGCUCCCUCCGGCGGUACCCACUGCCCCUGCGCAGCGGGAAAGAAGCUAAGAUCCUGCAGCACUUCGGAGACGGGCUCUGCAGGAUGCUGGAGGAGCGGCUGCGCCAGCACCGAGCGUCCGGCGGCGGCGAUGGCGAAGGCGAUGGCGAUGGCCAGGGCUCACCGUCCGGAGCGAGGAGUCCCCCCGGCGAAGGGCCGCCCGCCCAGGCCCAGGCCCCUCCCGUGGCAGCCUCGGCGCAGCCCCAGGCCGGCGGCUCCGGUGGCUACUGGCCGGCUCGGCACUCAGGGGCCCGGGCGGUGCUGCUGCUGCUGUACCAGGAGCACCUGAACCCCGAGGGCCGAGGCUUCCUGACCAAGGAGGAGCUGCUGCAGCGGUGCGCUCAGAUGGCCGCCAGGGUCACUCCCGGGAGCUCGCGGUCCUGGCCAGCGCUCCGCUCCCUGCUCCACAAGAACCUGGUGCUCAGGGCGCACCAGCCAGCCAGGUACUCGCUCACCGCGGAGGGCCUGGAGCUGGCCCAGAAGCUGGCUGAAUCGGGACCGCGCUCGGUGGACGCGGGCGUGGGGCCCGAGCAGCCUCCCGGGGAGGAGCCGGCAGUGCCAGGGGCGGCCCCGGCUGAGCUUGGCGCCAGCGCGGGGGGUGUCCAGCAGGCAGCGCUGGAGCUGGGGCCCGGGGAGUACAGGGUGCUGUUGUGUGUGGACGUUGGUGAGACCAGGGGGGCGGGGCACAGGCCCGAGCUACUCCGAGAACUCCAGCGGCUGCGUGUGAGCCACACGGUGCGCAAGCUGCACGUUGGGGACUUUGUGUGGGUGGCCCAGGAGACCCGGCCCAGGGACCCAGCAAGGCCAGGGGAGCUGGUGCUGGACCACAUCGUGGAGCGCAAGCGGCUGGACGACCUGUGCAGCAGCAUCGUGGACGGCCGCUUCCGGGAGCAGAAGUUCCGGCUAAAGCGCUGCGGCCUGGGGCGCCGGGUGUACCUGGUGGAGGAGCACGGCCGGGCCCAGAACCUCAGCCUCCCAGAGAGCACGCUGCUGCAGGCCGUCACCAACACCCAGGUCAUCGAUGGCUUCUUCGUGAAGCGCACGGCGGAUAUCAAGGAGUCGGCGGCCUACCUGGCCCUCAUGACUCGGGGCCUGCAGAGUCUGUAUCAGUGCCGCCUUCUUCUAGGGCCACACCCUACGCAGCCGCCCCUGGGAGCCCCCCGGGGACCCGGGAUCCGAGACCAGGCCCAGCCCGAACCCCCUGUGCUCACUCCUCACCUUCAGCGACUUCAACGCGGGAGCCAUCAAGAACAAGGCCCAGUCCGUGGGAGAGGUCUUUGCGCGGCAGCUGAUGCAGGUGCGUGGAGUGAGUGGGGAGAAGGCAGCGGCGCUGGUGGAUCGAUACAGCACCCCGUCCAGCCUCUUGGCCGCCUAUGAUGCCUGCAGCAGCCCCAAGGAGCAGGAGAUGUUGCUUAGCACCGUCAAGUGCGGGCGUCUGCAGAGGAACCUGGGGCCUGUUCUGAGCAGGACCUUAUCCCAGCUCUACUGCAGCUGCGGCCCGCUGACCUGAGCUGUGCCGGGAGGCAGAGCCCCGGCUCCCUCCCUCCCUCCCUCCCAGGCCUUUUAACCAGGGCCUCGGGCCACAAUAAAAAUGAAGUCUGCA